GGAAAUCUUACCGGGUCCGGACAUAUCGAGGAUUGACAGACAGUUACCAUGCCCUUUCGAAAGGAGUCAGGUUUUAAACCUAAUGGCUCUUUCAUGAUUAUAUGAUAGGUGGUGCAUGGCCGUUCUUAGUUCGUGGAGUGAUCUGUCUGCUUAAUUGCGUUUCAAAUUUUUAUUUGAGGACCAGGUUUUGGUUUGGGUAGUGGUCCUACGAUGACUGUGAACUGUCAUGUCUUCGGAUGUGCGACUAUCGGUCUAGGAUCGCAUCUCAGCCCCUGGGACUCUUUUGAACGCAACGGACGUGAUUGCAACCCCUUGUUGAGAUUAGAGGAGUCUCGAUAUUCAUUGGCCAAACUUACCGCUUCGAGCUUGCUCGUGCAGUUUUGUUAGCCGGUGGAUAAACUCGGGGGACUGCUGACUAUAACCAUUUCUCAAAACAGAGGAAGGUUGCGGCAAUAACAGGU
rnacentral:rRNA from 1 species